rnacentral:rRNA from 1 species
AUGGCCUGGUGGAAAAUAUGCAUACCAAAAAACCAAGGAGGAAUGGGAUUCCGUGAUAUCGACUGUUUCAACCUGGCUUUGCUCCCCAAACAGGCAUGGCGUCUCAUUGAUGAUCCUGAUUCCUUGUGUGCUACUAUUCGGAGGGCCAAGUACUAUCCUGAUGGCGAUUUGAUGAAGUCCAAGCCAAAGCAUGGCGCUUCCUUCACCUGGCAAAGCAUCAUGGCAGGCAUAACUACUCUGAAACGUGACUAUAUUUGGCAAGUGGGGAAUGGACAGAACAUCAAUAUUUGGGAAGAUGCCUGGAUCCCAAACUGUGCCACUAGGAAGAUUGUGACCCCUAAGGGGGGACAACUAUUAUCAAAAGUGGGUGACCUGAUUGACACUGCCUCCAAUAAUUAG